AUUUCUCUGCAUUCCCAUCAGCCAAAAAACGUCCUAAGGGUUUCUUCAAGCUGGUUUUUCAUAAUUUUUGCACCAAAUCCAGAAAAUUCAAAUACGAAGCAAGAUCGAGGAAAAGAAAAAGUUCGGGAUUAGUAGAUUUUUGGUUACGAACAAGUGUCGAGAGUUAAGAGCUCGGAGGUCGGAUUUGGUGGAGACACAUCACACUAUCAAUCUCGAGAUCUCGGUACAUAAAGGAACUUUAUUUUGGAAAUCAAUGGCAUGUAUAAGCUAGUAAAUUAGAUGUUAAUGUGAAAUGAAUGUAUGGUUAGCCAUUGGUAUGGCUAACAAAUUUUGGUUUUGGUAUGUGAUGAAAUUAUCUUAUGAAUAUGAUAAAUCUAUCUUGAAAAAAAAAAUUCGGUAAAAUCUGGUAAUGCCUCAUACUCUAUUUCGGCGACGAAUACGGGUAGGGGGUAUUACAAGAAAAGUCUGCACUCCAUUUCGAUAACCGUCGCUUACCCUUGACAAAUUCAUCCAAGACCGGUCCAUUUCUUAUUUCUUGAAGUCUGAUUUUCACCAGAAAUUACAAGGGUAAGUUGUUCAGUGGUAAGUUAUGUAUUAUGUAACUUAUGUAAGUUAUAAUAUUAAUGUAUGUUAUGUAAGUUGUAAGUUAUGUUUUAUGUAACUUCUAUAACUUAUCAAAUAAUGUAAGUUAUGUAAGUUGUAAGUUGUUAUGUAUUAUGUAAGUUAUGUAUGCUAUAUAUUAUGUAAGUUUAUAUAAAAUCAUAAAUAUAAGUUAUGUAUUAU